rnacentral:rRNA from 1 species
AUACGGAGGAUGCGAGCGUUAUCCGGAUUUAUUGGGUUUAAAGGGAGCGUAGGUGGGAUAUUAAGUCAGCUGUGAAAGUUUGGGGCUCAACCUUAAAAUUGCAGUUGAUACUGGUUUCCUUGAGUACGGUACAGGUGGGCGGAAUUCGUGGUGUAGCGGUGAAAUGCUUAGAUAUCACGAAGAACUCCGAUUGCGAAGGCAGCUCACUAGACUGUUACUGACACUGAUGCUCGAAAGUGUGGGUAUCAAACAGGAUUAGAUACCCUGGUAGUCCACACAGUAAACGAUGAAUACUCGCUGUUUGCGAUACACGGUAAGCGGCCAAGCGAAAGCGUUAAGUAUUCCACCUGGGGAGUACGCCGGCAACGGUGAAACUCAAAUGAAUUGACGGGG